ACUCAAUAGAUACCCGGGUAGUCCCAGCUGUAAACGAUGCAGACUCGGUGAUGAAUUGGCUUAUUGCUAAAUUCAGUGCCGCAGGGAAGCCGUUAAGUUUGCCGCCUGGGGAGUACGGUCGCAAGACUGAAACUUAAAGGAAUUGGCGGGGGUAGCACCACAAGGGGUGAAGCCUGCGGUUCAAUUGGAGUCAACGCCGGAAAUCUUACCGGGGGUCGACAGCAGAGUGAAGGUCAAGCUGAAGACUUUACCAGACAAGCUGAGAGGAGGCGCAUGGCCGUCGCCAGCUCGUGCCGUGAGGUGUCCUGUUAAGUCAGGUAACGAGCGAGAUCCCUGCCUCUAGUUGCUACCAUUAUUCUCAGGAGUAGUGGAGCUAAUUAGAGGACCGCCGUCGCUGAGACGGAGGAAGGUGGGGGUCUACGGCAGGUCAGUAUGCCCCGGAAA
rnacentral:rRNA from 1 species